rnacentral:rRNA from 1 species
UUUUGUGGGGUGCUCGAGUGGCGAACGGGUGAGUAACACGUGAGUAACCUGCCCUUGACUUUGGGAUAACUUCAGGAAACUGGGGCUAAUACCGGAUAGGAGCUCCUGCUGCAUGGUGGGGGUUGGAAAGUUUCGGCGGUUGGGGAUGGACUCGCGGCUUAUCAGCUUGUUGGCGGGGUAGUGGCUUACCAAGGCUUUGACGGGUAGCCGGCCUGAGAGGGUGACCGGCCACAUUGGGACUGAGAUACGGCCCAG